UCAGCUUGUUGGUGAGGUAAUGGCUCACCAAGGCGACGACGGGUAGCCGGCCUGAGAGGGCGACCGGCCACACUGGGACUGAGACACGGCCCAGACUCCUACGGGAGGCAGCAGUGGGCAAUAUUGCACAAUGGGCGAAAGCCUGAUGCAGCGACGCCGCGUGAGGGAUGACGGCCUUCGGGUUGUAAACCUCUUUCAGCAGGGUACAAGCGAAAGUGACGGUACCUGCAGAAGAAGCGCCGGCUAACUACGUGCCAGCAGCCGCGG
rnacentral:rRNA from 1 species